rnacentral:rRNA from 1 species
UGGGGAAUUUUGGACAAUGGGGGCAACCCUGAUCCAGCAAUGCCGCGUGUGUGAAGAAGGCCUUCGGGUUGUAAAGCACUUUUGUCCGGAAAGAAAACGCCGUGGUUAAUACCCCGUGGCGGAUGACGGUACCGGAAGAAUAAGCACCGGCUAACUACGUGCCAGCAGCCGCGGUAAUACGUAGGGUGCAAGCGUUAAUCGGAAUUACUGGGCGUAAAGCGUGCGCAGGCGGUCCGCUAAGACAGAUGUGAAAUCCCCGGGCUUAACCUGGGAACUGCAUUUGUGACUGGCGGGCUAGAGUAUGGCAGAGGGGGGUAGAAUUCCACGUGUAGCAGUGAAAUGCGGUAGAGAUGUGGAGGAAUACCGAUGGCGAAGGCAGCCCCCUGGGCCAAUACUGACGCUCAUGCACGAAAGCGUGGGGGAGCAAAGCAGGAUUCAGAUACCCUGGGUAGUCCACGCCCUAAACGAUGUCAACUAGUUGUCGGGUCUUCAUUGACUUGGUAACGUAGCUAACCGCGUGAAGUUGACCGCCUGGGGAGUACGGUCGCAAGAUUAAAACUCAAAGGAAUUGACGGGGGUCAUAGCUGUUUCC